GAUUGCUGAUUUUGGUAUGGCUCGUCUCUUCCCUGAAGACCAAACGCAUGUCAAUACCCGCGUGGCAGGCACAAAUGGUUAUAUGGCUCCAGAAUAUGUCAUGCAUGGGCAUUUGUCAGUGAAGGCAGAUGUUUUUAGCUUUGGGGUUUUGGUUCUGGAGCUUAUCAGUGGGCAGAGGAAUUCAACAUUUAAUCAAUCAGUUGAUGCACAAAAUCUACUUGAAUGGGUAAGAUUCUGAUUACAUCUGUUUAAUUAGUGAUCAUUUUCAUUAUUCAUUUAUCUACUGACUUAUAGUUAUGUUGGACCCUUAGUUUGAGAGAGUGAGAGAGAUAGAGGAGACAUUAGGUAGCUUGUGCACUGGAGGGAUAGGAAGAGAUAGGAAAUGGUAAGACAAAGGGAUAAGUGAUAUCCCUUAUUUGGGAGUUCAUUAGUGGGAAAAGAAAGUAUGAGGGAUAAGUGAUUCCUUUUAGAGCCUAUUUACUUUCCCAUUAUCCCUCCCAUAACUUUGAAAAUAUUUUUGAUUAUGACUAUUAUACCCUUAAUGCUUGCAAAUCCUUUCUUAUCCCUUGAAUUUCCUAACAUGAGAAAUUGCUCAACCUUUCAUUCUUUUUUUUUUUUUUCCUAUUCCUUAGAUUAAUCAUAUCAUUUCUUUUCCUAAUUAACAAAAACUCCUAAACAUAGUGUAAAGGAAAUUAACCACUGUAAUCUGCAUCUCAGCAUGUCUGGUUUCCCUGUGAGCCUUGAAGUCAGCAACAUAAAAAAUGGGACAUGAUGGAAGUUGUUACAUUCUUUUCACAUGCCAAAUCCUUUUGUUUGUUUUUUGAGCUAAGAAAAAAAAGAGUGAAUCAUAUGUGGAUGAUCUUGUUAGGAAGAGCACUGAUUUCUUGUAUUGUAUUGGGCAUUUUUAGAUCAAAGCUUCAUUUAAUCUAUGAAAUGGUGUUGAAUAGAGAAUGCCCAAAUUAGCAGCUAAUGGCAUGCAAUUCUUUGGUUAAAAAAAAAUGGCAUGCAAUCAACUUGUGUAACUUGUGUUACGAUGUGGCUUGUAUUUUAAAAAUGUUUUUAUUGGUCUCGAUCUGAUCCAAAAAGCCCACAUUGCGACUUGAAUGAGAUAUAUAUUGAGGUUUAUAGUGGUAGUAUAGAGACCAGGCCGAUCGGUAUGAAUUGAAUAUUGCUUAUUGUGGCAGAUUGUGAGAUUUGGAUAAACCUACUAGGAUUAGGAUUUGGUGAGUUUUGAGAGAUUUUAACCUAUUAUUUUCAUUAUAUUGGAACCUUUUGCUCUUGUUUUACCCGUUUAUAUAGACUUUACAAUUGAACCAUGUAAAUCUUGUGUUUGUUUUUUCUUUUCUCUAUAUUAUGAGUUGCAUAUGACUUAGAUUUGUGUGCUUGUCAUAAAAACAUGCAUAGACAAGCUAAUGCAUAAAGGGGGCAACCUUACAAAGCUCUUGGGGCUUCUACUGAACAAACCCUUUAUAAAUUUGCAUAUUGCUGCUCUUAUGAUAUACCUGUCCUCCACUUGAUUUUAAGCAUGAUUUUAUUGUUGGUGCAGGUAUAUAAGCUGUACAAAAGGGACAGGAGUUUGGAGGCGAUGGAUCCAACAUUAGCAUCAUCAGCAGUCAAUGACCAAGUAAAAAUGUGCAUUCAUAUGGGGCUGCUAUGCACACAAGGUGAUCCACAGCUACGGCCAAAUAUGCGACGCAUAGUCAUCAUGCUGUCAAAGAAACCUGGCAAUCUGGAAGAACCAACUAGACCUGGAAUGCCCGGUUCAAGAUAUAGAAGAUCUCGCAGGCCACCAGGAAUGUCCUCCGCUGCCGGAAUGUCAUCUGCUGCUGGAAUGUCAUCCACUGCUGGAAUGUCCUCUGCCGGAACAUCCGGUGAUUCAGAUUCCCAUUCUCGGACAUUUGAUUCGAGCUCAAACACUAAUACAGCUACGGCAUCUACAUCGACUCGUACCAGUCCAAGAUUAGAUCCUCAUGGUAAACGUCCCAUAGAAAGCUAAGCUUAGUUCAAUAGAAAUUUUGGAUACAUAUUCUUUGUAUGAUAGGUAUAUAAAAUUUAGUCUUCUAGAGUGUAAAUGUUAAUGAACGAUUAGUUGAUAAAUGCAAGAUUGGAUUGAACCU
rnacentral:misc_RNA from 1 species